rnacentral:rRNA from 1 species
GGGUUAAGUCCCGCAACGAGCGCAACCCCUACCCUUAGUUGCCAGCGGUUCGGCCGGGAACUCUAGGGGGACUGCCGGUGAUAAGCCGGAGGAAGGUGGGGAUGACGUCAAGUCCUCAUGGCCCUUACGGGUUGGGCUACACACGUGCUACAAUGGCGGUGACAAUGGGCGGCAAUGGAGCGAUCCGGAGCCAAUCCUUAAAAACCGUCUCAGUUCGGAUUGUUCUCUGCAACUCGAGAGCAUGAAGUCGGAAUCGCUAGUAAUCGCGUAUCAGCAUGACGCGGUGAAUACGUUCCCGGGCCUUGUACACACCGCCCGUCAAACCAUGGGAGUUGGUUUGACCCGAAGACGGUGCGCUAACCUUUUGGAGGCAGCCGGCCACGGUCAGAUCAGCGACUGGGGUUAAGUCGUAACAAGGUAACCA